rnacentral:lncRNA from 1 species
UGACCUUCAAAAAUAAUUCCGUACGAGUCUUAAAUACCAUAAGAGUGUGCCCACCAAGCAUUCAAUGAGAGAGAAAGGAGCUUUACUUGCAUAAACCAUCAAACGAUACAUUACAUAAAACAAAAGGAGAUGCUUUCACCUUCAUUUACCAUCUCAAACCCCAUCAUCACUCACUACCACUGAAUCCACUCUGAAUCUACAAAGAGGUUCAUUUACCAUCUCAAACCCCAUCAUCACUCACUACCACUGAAUCCACUCUGAAUCUACAAAGAGGACAUGAAGAGUGAGAAAGAAGCCACUUAUCAACACAUUCCAAAUGAAAACAGUGACCACAAUUCGGCAAAACCCUAAAAACCUGCCCCUCUUCCAAUCCACUCAAACAAACAGCGCACUCUCCACCCUCUCGAGGCACAGACCUAACCACCAAGCCCAUUUUGCAGGGUCCGGGCUCAACAGAACCGAGCCCAAAGCUCGAGCUGCAUAGCCUCCCAUAAAACGCGGUCACGACGAGCAAAGAGGAGAAGACAGAGAGGAGGCCAAGGGCCAGAGCGAGAGCGGGUCGGAGAGAGAAACUUGAAAUUUGGGUUUGUGGAGUGGUCGGAGAGAGAGAGGGUUGGGGUGAGGGGUUGUUGGGGAGAGAGAGGGAAGGGGAGUUGAGGAGAGAGGAUGAUGAGAGAGAGAAGGAGAGGACGAGGAGAGAGAACAUGAUGGUGGUGGUUGUGGUUAUGGUGGUGGUGGUGGUGGCCAUUGUUGGCUGUGGGAUUUGGGAUGGUGGGGAGUGAGAGAAGUGUGUGGUAAUGGAAUUUGUAAGGUCUUUUCAGCUGAGUUAGUUUUGGGGGUCAGAAAGCGCAUGUGAAACAAUGGGCGUGGGUCGGCUCAUUUAUGAGCAUUGGAAUGGACUGGUUUUUAGAGAAAGAAAAAGGGUUGAGGUAAAUUUGAUAGCAGAUGAUCUGGCCCAAAAAGGGGCUCAAUUUGAUGAAAUGAAGAUCGUCGAAGAGCUUUUUCUUUGACUUUGUCUUCCUUUGACAUUUUCUGUUCUUUUGUUUUUGUUGCAAAUAUGCAACACUCUAUUACUUAAUGAAAUUAUGGUACUUUAAUAAUAAUAAUAAUAAUAAUAAUAAUAAAUUAAUGAUUGUAUGAGACCCUCCCACAUCCAUAUAUAAAGGACGUCAAAUAAACACCCU